GACGAACGCUGGCGGCGUGCUUAACACAUGCAAGUCGAACGAAGUGGCGAACGGGUGAGUAACGCGUAAUCAACCUGCCCUUCAGAGGGGGACAACAGUUGGAAACGACUGCUAAUACCGCAUACUCAAGGAGUGGAUUGGGUUUGAUUAGCUAGUUGGAGGGGUAAAGGCCAAACAAGGCGAUGAUCAGUAACCGGUCUGGUAGGAUGAACCGCCACAUUGGGACUGAGACACGGCCCAGACUCCUACGGGAGGCAGCAGUGGGGAAUCUUCCGCAAUGGACGAAAGCCUGACCGAGCAACGCCGCGUGAGUGAUGACGGCCUUCGGGUUGUAAAGCUCUGUUAAUCGGGACGCGGUACCGAAAUAGAAAGCCACGGCUAACUACGUGCCAGCAGCCGCGGUAAUUC
rnacentral:rRNA from 1 species